UUGAAUUUGAUGUACCAAGGGAAUUUGUUUGCUUGCUUUAAAAGAACAAUACUUAAAAAAUGUUAAAGUCAUGAUGGGAUACAGUGGACCAUACCCAUAGAAAGAGGCAAGGGUAUUUUCCCACAGGGCCAGAUAGAGCAAGGGAGUGCUAAUGAGGUGAGUUCUCUGAAUUCUAAAGAAUCAGAUUACUAUAAUAAUAAGAUGCUGGAGGCUCUGUCUUUUGAAGCUGAAGAGCAAUAUUGUUUAAAAUUGAUAUUAGUUCAGUGUUUUGGUGACUGAGUAGGAAAUGGGUGGGGUGUUUUGCAGGCUGAAUUGGCCAGUCCACUGAACGAGGCCGAUGGGCAUCGGGGCAUAAUCCCAGCCAAUACCAGGCUCCACACCACGCUGUCAGUCAGCCUGGGGAAUGAGACCCAAACUGCUCAUACAGAAUUAUGCAUUUCCACUUCUAAUGACACCAUCAUCCGAGCAGUAUUGAUUUUUGCAGAGGGAAUUUUUACAGGUGAAAGCCACGUGGUACAUCCCAGCAUUCACAACCUCUCCAGUUCCAUCUGCAUCCCUAUUGCGCCUCCCAAAGAUGUCCCUGUGGAUCUGCACU
rnacentral:sRNA from 1 species